rnacentral:lncRNA from 1 species
GUCUUAUCAUCUAUCUUAGGCUUUAUGUUCCUUGGGGUAGAAACCUUGCCUUCUUCAUUUCUGUAUCGUUCAUGAACAUAUGAGUUGGUCAUCAGGAAAAGGUUCUCAAUCACAUGUAGGUUGUGUUCUGAGUCUCAGGUUUACAUAUUAAUGCUAGAGUCAUUGUUCUCCAGGAGGUCAGAGGUUGCUUGUGAUGAAGGGUAUGGGUAAUCCCAUACUGCAGAUGGUAGAUGGGAGAUCACCCUGUUUUUAGCCAUAGCAUUGGAACUAAGCAUUCUAUGUGUAUAUCAGGUGGAGGGGAAGGGAUGUGUAGAAAGACAGAUUUA